AGGAUGCAAAUAUCGCCCCUAAGCUACAAA
rnacentral:piRNA from 1 species